GUGGGGAAUCUUGCGCAAUGGGCGAAAGCCUGACGCAGCCAUGCCGCGUGAAUGAUGAAGGUCUUAGGAUUGUAACAUUCUUUCACCGGGGACGAUAAUGACGGUACCCGGAGAAGAAGCUCCGGCUAACUUCGUGCCAGCAGCCGCGGUAAUACGAAGGGGGCUAGCGUUGCUCGGAAUUACUGGGCGUAAAGGGCGCGUAGGCGGACAGCUUAGUCAGAGGUGAAAGCCCAGGGCUCAACCUUGGAAUUGCCUUUGAUACUGGCUGUCUUGAGUUUGGGAGAGGUGAGUGGAACUCCGAGUGUAGAGGUGAAAUUCGUAGAUAUUCGGAAGAACACCAGUGGCGAAGGCGACUCACUGGCCCAAUACUGACGCUGAGGCGCGAAAGCGUGGGGAGCAAACAGGAUUAGAAACCCCUGUAGUCC
rnacentral:rRNA from 1 species